rnacentral:rRNA from 1 species
GACGAACGCUGGCGGCGUGCUUAACACAUGCAAGUCGAACGGAAAGGCCCUGCUUUUGUGGGGUGCUCGAGUGGCGAACGGGUGAGUAACACGUGAGUAACCUGCCCUUGACUUUGGGAUAACUUCAGGAAACUGGGGCUAAUACCGGAUAGGAGCUCCUGCUGCAUGGUGGGGGUUGGAAAGUUUCGGCGGUUGGGGAUGGACUCGCGGCUUCUCCGCUUGUUGGUGGGGUAGUGGCUUACCCAGGCUUUGACGGGUAGCCGGCCUGAGGGGGUGACCGGCCACAUUGGGACUGAGAUACGGCCCAGACUCCUACGGGAGGCAGCAGUGGGGAAUAUUGCACAAUGGGCGGAAGCCUGAUGCAGCAACGCCGCGUGCGGGAUGACGGCCUUCGGGUUGUAAACCGCUUUCGCCUGUGACGAAGCGUGAGUGACGGUAAUGGGUAAAGAAGCACCGGCUAACUACGUG